UACAUACAUACUUUAAUCAACCUUAAAGCAAAUUUGUAGACUACAGAUAAAAAAGUUGUUGCAUUAAAUCAUAUUACAAACAUUUUCAAACUACAUCUAUAAUAUAUAAUAAAAGUCCAGACAGAAAACAAUUGGACUUUGGUUCCCCAGUCAGUGGAUGCUGUAUAUAAAUAUUCUGGUAACCGAUUCAUUGUACCUGCAGGCUUGCUAAACCCCUAUUUACUUGAAGCUGGAAAGCCUUUGUAAGUUUUAUCUUUCAUUUUAGGUGUGGCUG